CGCAGUCUUCUGUCGUCUGCUAUAGACGCAGUCUUCUGUCGUCUGCUAUAGACGCAGUCUUCUGUCGUCUGCUAUAGACGCAGUCUUCUUCUGUCUGCUAUAGACGCAGUCUUCUGUCGUCUGCUAUAGACGCAGUCUUCUGUCGUCUGCUAUAGACGCAGUGGGUACCACCAAAGAUGCCGUGAGCUACCUUGGAUGUGAGUAAGAUAGUGACUCAUCAGGUGAGAGUAUGGCCUUAAAAUCUCACCAAGGUUAACCAAAAAGUAAGGUUUCUGGCAAGGAAAUAAUGUUUUCAUGAUAGGAAAAUACUACAGACACUGGCAGUGCCCCUUGUGCAGUGUCAUUUUGAUUAGAUAAUUGAUUAUGUGUGUGCCUCAAGAAUAAGCUUCAGAAAACUCAGAAUAAGCAGUGGUGGAAAAAGUACCCAAUUGUCAUACUUGAGUAAAAGUUAAGAUACCUUAAUAUAAAAUUUGUGAAUUAGACCAUUUUCCUGCCCUACAUUUAUUCGGGUGUCAGGGAAAAUGUACGGAGUAAAAAGUACAUCAUUUUCUUUAGGAAUGUAGUGAAGUAAAAGUUGUCAUAAAUAGUAAAGUACAGAUACCCCCAAAAACUACUGAAGUAGUAAUUUUAGGUAUUUUUACUUCAAGUAUGUUACACCACUGAGAAUAAGAUAGUCGUACACACUGUGUGUGACUAUGCGAUCUUGCCCACCUUUCAUAUUAUUUGCCAAAGAGGGUCACAAUAAAAAUAAACCUUCAAUCUUUUUUCAUGUAUGUAAUGUUGUCUCUGUCAGGAGCAGCCUUCGACCUUAAAUGAUCAAUUCUAUCAAUAAAACACUCAUGACUUGUAGCGAUUA